GACGAACGCUGGCGGCGUGCCUAAUACAUGCAAGUAGAACGCACAGUUUAUACCGUAGCUUGCUACACCAUAAACUGUGAGUUGCGAACGGGUGAGUAACGCGUAGGUAACCUGCCUGGUAGCGGGGGAUAACUAUUGGAAACGAUAGCUAAUACCGCAUAAUAUUGAUUAUUGCAUGAUAAUUGAUUGAAAGAUGCUAUUGCAUCACUACCAGAUGGACCUGCGUUGUAUUAGCUAGUAGGUGAGGUAACGGCUCACCUAGGCGACGAUACAUAGCCGACCUGAGAGGGUGAUCGGCCACACUGGGACUGAGACACGGCCCAGACUCCUACGGGAGGCAGCAGUAGGGAAUCUUCGGCAAUGGACGAAAGUCUGACCGAGCAACGCCGCGUGAGUGAAGAAGGUUUUCGGAUCGUAAAGCUCUGUUGUAAGAGAAGAACGGGUGUGAGAGUGAAAAGUUCACACUGUGACGGUAUCUUACCAGAAAGGGACGGCUAACUACGUGCCAGCAGCCGCGGUAAUACGUAGGUCCCGAGCGUUGUCCGGAUUUAUUGGGCGUAAAGCGAGCGCAGGCGGUUAGAUAAGUCUGAAGUUAAAGGCUGUGGCUUAACCAUAGUACGCUUUGGAAACUGUUUAACUUGAGUGCAGAAGGGGAGAGUGGAAUUCCAUGUGUAGCGGUGAAAUGCGUAGAUAUAUGGAGGAACACCGGUGGCGAAAGCGGCUCUCUGGUCUGUAACUGACGCUGAGGCUCGAAAGCGUGGGGAGCGAACAGG
rnacentral:rRNA from 1 species